GGCUCAUUGGUGAUCUACCCUGUAGAUCCGGGCUUUUGUAGAAUAGUAGAUAUCAGAAGCUCGUCUCUACAGGUAUCUUUCGGAUGACA
rnacentral:pre_miRNA from 1 species